CAGCAGCCGCGGGAAUACGGAGGGAGCUAGCGUUGUUCGGAAUUAUUGGGCGUAAAGGGCGCGUAGGCGGUUUGGCAAGUUUGGUGUGAAAUCUUCGGGCUCAACUCGAAGUCUGCAUCGAAAACUGCCGGGCUUGAGUAUGGGAGAGGUGAGUGGAAUUCCGAGUGUAGAGGUGAAAUUCGUAGAUAUUCGGAAGAACACCAGUGGCGAAGGCGGCUCACUGGACCGGCAUUGACGCUGAGGUGCGAAAGCGUGGGGAGCAAACAGGAUUAGAUACCCGGGUAGUCCCUGUCUCUUAUAC
rnacentral:rRNA from 1 species